UGGCCUAUUGAUAUGAAUUGCCACGUUAAACCCAUGAAAUGACAACGUCAGAGCCUGUUGUGUCAGACGUACAGAAAUUCGUUUUUUUUUUAAAAAGUAUCAAUAAUAAUUUUGACAGUCUGUUUGUAACAUAUGGCUUGAUGAUUCACUUGAGUAAGAUAAAAGCCAUGAUUUCUUCUCUCGAUAUCACUAGCUACCAAGAUGUUUUUACAAUUUUUGGUUAUAUGGCUAUUACCUGCAUUGUCGUUGGCCAUGCCACCAGCGCUCUCUACAACUACCAAUGUACAAUAUCCCGAUACCACGACGUCAUUGAUAACGACAACAAAACCACCAUGUGUUUGCCAAGAUGGGACUGUUCUUAAUAUUGGAGAAAUUUAUUACCCAACGGACUGUUCAUACUGUGAAUGUAGACAAGAAGGUGUCAUCAAGGCCCAUGGUUCAUGUCUUUCAGUUCCAUGUACCGAUCCAUAUUCUGUUGAAGGUGAUGGUAUAUGUUGCCCUACCUGUCCCAGCGGAAUAUGUAACGCCUUCUACGGCCCAUAUGGUAUGUAUUGGAAAUCUAUUCCCGCUGGUUCACCCGUUGUUCUUGGUGAUUACGUGUGUGAAUGUGACGAACCCGGUUAUGUACCCGACGGGGUUAUACCUACAGCAACAUGUACUGAAAUAUCAACAAUCCCAUCACCAACCACAACUACUACUGUCACACCACCUACAGGACCUGGUCCAGAACCAAUAGGUUAGAUAAAGUCAAGAGUGGGGAAUGAUAAAAGGAUAUUCUACCAUUAACUGAUAAUAUCCAAUAUACUGCUUACACAUGGAGACAUAUUGGUAUUUUACUUUUUUAACUCUAACCCAACCCUUAAACAUGCAUUAUGCAAGAGCUAAAUCUGUCUAUUGCAGGUCUCUCUUUACGCCUGAAAUGUUAUCUAAAUUAUUAAUUAGACAUUAAUUAACCUAUCCAGGCCAUAAUCAACUCUUGAUGGCAUCGCUAGCCUGCGAUCUUUAGUGGUUUGUGAGCCGAUUUACUGCAUCACUUUCCUUCUCCAUUAAACGAUUAAAUGGAUAAUCGAGA